AUUGCCUCGAGGAGUCCAGGUGCGCCGCGUCCCCCUGCUCCAAGAGGAACCCUUCCUCUCCCCGGCCGCGCGGCGCGGCUCGUGGUGUCUUCCGCCGGUCGAUUCUCCCGCGGAGUUCAGAAUCUCAGGUUUUUCAAGAUACGUGGGCAGGGACAGGCCGGGAACAUCAAGAUUUUCAGACUCAGUUGCGUGGCUUAGAAUGGACCUAAUACUUCCAGUUAAAGUUGGAGAUGCUAUAGAGACGAGAUCCUUUGAUCGUGGUUAUAGGGGCGCAUGGUUCUGUGGCAAGCUCACCAACAUGCGUAUCAAGGACGGUCACCUGGAGUGUCAGGUGGAGUAUAUAGACUAUCCAAAUGAAAGAAAACAACAAAUGCUGGCAUACUGCUCGUUUGAUUGAAGGGAACCAAGGUCUACAAAACGAGGCGGAUAAACAGGUGCUGCUGGAGGGAGCUUCAUCGAUUCAGAAUUCCGCUGUCAGGGUGCAUGAAGAAACUCGCACAUCGCCCCCUGGGAUCUCUGAAAGGGAAGUGGUGGAGGAUGAGAUUGAGGAGAAUGAGGAAGGUGUUCACCUUUGAUCUCUACAUCCUGGGCAUGUCACUAUUAAGAAGUUUGGCUGUCCGGUCUAGUGUCUUUUCCUGUAGUCUGUAAGUUUGAUGAUGGGCAACCUGACAUCCUGGGCAUGUCUUUGUUAUGAAAAAUGACAUCUGGUUCUUGAUCUUGUGGUCUGGUCAUUUUGGAGAUUGACAUCCUGGGCAUGUCGUUGUUAAUAAAGAAAUUUGGU